ensembl:lncRNA
CGCCGAGUCAAAACGAUGUGUGUCAAAGUGAACUUGAUACAGAGAAAGAGAGGGAGCCAACUUGAUGUGGAGGGAAAACCACCUGCCUCCAGAUAUUCUGGAGUGAACCAGAGGACACAGACAUCCAACCAAAAGUCCUGAAAACUGGAUCUGAAAACCUGAAGGCCUGACACAAGAACGGGUUAAACCCAGUAUCUGAAUACCUGAAAACAGGACUAUCUGACAGGACUGCCUCGGAAGCUCAGAGGACAGAGUUGUUGACUCUGGGAGCCAACAGAGCUCCAGGAUGGGUGGCUUCGUUGGCUCAGGAUGGAAAAGUUCC